CCGAAGGCAGAGUGGACUAAUGCGCCGGCCUUGAGAGCCGGUGAGCCGCAAGGCUCGCAGGGGUUCGAAUCCCCUUCCCGGC
rnacentral:tRNA from 1 species